CAAUAGCGUAUAUUAAAGUUGUUGCAGUUAAAAAGCUCGUAGUUGGAUUUGUGGCGUACGGUGUGUUCCGGGCACUUGUUGUCUGAGUAACCUGCUGUUGCCAUCCUUGGGUGGAACCUGUGUGGCAUUAGGUUGUCGUGCAGGGGAUGCCCAUCAUUUACUGUGAAAAAAUUAGAGUGUUCAAAGCAGGCUUAUGCCGUUGAAUAUAUUAGCAUGGAAUAAUGAGAUAGGACUUUUUUGCUAUUUUGUCGGUUUGCGCAAAGAGGUAAUGAUUAAUAGGGACAGUUGGGGGUAUUCGUAUUCCAUAGUCAGAGGUGAAAUUCUUGGAUUUUUGGAAGACGAACUACUGCGAAAGCAUUUACCAAGGAUGUUUUCAUUAA
rnacentral:rRNA from 1 species